UGGGGAAUAUUGGACAAUGGGCGCAAGCCUGAUCCAGCCAUGCCGCGUGAGUGAUGAAGGCCCUAGGGUUGUAAAGCUCUUUCACCGGUGAAGAUAAUGACGGUAACCGGAGAAGAAGCCCCGGCUAACUUCGUGCCAGCAGCCGCGGUAAUACGAAGGGGGCUAGCGUUGUUCGGAUUUACUGGGCGUAAAGCGCACGUAGGCGGACUUUUAAGUCAGGGGUGAAAUCCCGGGGCUCAACCCCGGAACUGCCUUUGAUACUGGAAGUCUUGAGUAUGGUAGAGGUGGGUGGAAUUCCGAGUGUAGAGGUGAAAUUCGUAGAUAUUCGGAGGAACACCAGUGGCGAAGGCGGCUCACUGAACCAUUAAUGACGCUGAGGUGCGAAAGCGUGGGGAGCAAACAGG
rnacentral:rRNA from 1 species